UGGCUCGUAGCUCAAUGGUAGAUGCACCGAGCUUUUAACUCGGGGGCUGUGAGUUCGAAUCUCACCGGGCCAA
rnacentral:tRNA from 1 species